rnacentral:lncRNA from 1 species
CAUACAUAUACACACACGUGUGUAUAUGUAUGUAUAUAUAUAUAUAUUUAUAUAAAUGUGUGUGUGUGUGCACCCAAAAUAGAUACAUAACUCAAAAAUGCUAUUUCUCUCUCUUAUUUGGUCAGAUUAAGACGAAACUCGAAGGUAGCUCAAGAAUAAAUGCCCUUUUUAGCAGGAAAGGUUAGUUGCUGCAGUAUUAAGCCAUGUUUUCACUCACUGCACAGUUCUAGAUUAGCUGCUUCGUCUUUGGGUCGUGUAUUUUGGGCUUAAGACUACUCUCCUUUCAUAUGUGGGGGGACCCAGUUUACUACCUGCAUGAGAAUGUACUAAAUGGAUAGAAUGACUGGUUUGAUAUGUAGGAAUCUCACUGGUGUAGGGAUGAUAGCUUUUACUGAUGGUGAUGGGAGAUAUAGUGUGGUCAACAAAGUUUUGUAUCUUGUCGGGUCUGGAAGCCCCACGACCAACCAGUUCAGUAGUUAAUUAUGUAGAGAAUAUAGAAGUAGUACGUUUGUGGAGGGCUCUUGGUUAUUUGGUAAGAGUUUUCGGGGAAGAAUGAGGACGGGGGACUGGUCACAACCCAACAAACAGCAAAGGAAAUGUUACACUUAAUUGAUCUUGUUUUUCUGAAAAGGUCCAGCAAAGCAAAAUUUCAGUGUUUAACCUUUCCUUUCUAAGCCAUCUCUAAACUCUGCAGUGUUAACACAUCUGAAGUUACAGUCAUAAUGAUAAUGAUUUCUGUUCUUCCCAAUAGUAACAGUGGUAUGGUUCAGUUGUCUUCUCUUUGUUCUUUCAAUUCCAUUAGUUAUUUGUUUCUGUUAUCUGAGCUUUUUGCAGGGACAAUAUCUCUCUCUUGCUCUGUUCAUUGGAGUUAAGUGGAGGCAGACAGGAAAUAAUGUUUUUAUUGUAUACAAUAAAUUGGACAUUAGAGAGAGUUAUUACUAUUUAGCAACUUUAAUCAUUUGUUGACCAGGUGUAGGGAGGUGGGGCUUUCUAGGUAACAUCAAAGAUUUGACUUGCAGUUCAGUUUUAGUUUCAAGUACAACCUUAGUUUUUAGAGGCAUUUGUGAACAUCUAAGUCCUUCAUUUCAAACAUUUUAAUGUCCUGUCAAUUACAUGAAAUCUUAAAGUUUAUUGGAUGGUAAUUCAAUGUUUCUGGCAAUUAUGUCUUCCAUACUAUUUUUAAUUAUUUAAAUUUUUCUAUUUCCUUCAGCGUAAAUAUACAUUUAAUUUUUUUUUCCCCUUAAGUUUCAGUUAAAUGAAACAUUGAGAAAAUAGGUGGGAGAGUUGGUGAAAAAUAAAAUUACAGAAAAGGUUUUUUUUUUCUCUCUCUCUCUCUCUAUCUCUUUGUAAGAUUUCUAAAGCAAUAAGUACUAUUUGCUAGCUAUCUUUCUCUUUGGGAAUGCCUGAGAUCUGUCUAAACAUUGUUUAUUUGAGUUGUAUAUGCUUUCCUUGUGCACCUCAUGAUGAUGAUGAUAACUUCUGUUCAGUCAGGAAUCACAGGAAUGGUGAUUGCUAGUUCUGAUCACUGGACUUGAGUUUGUCAUAGUUAAGUCCACUUAAAUAUUUCAUGUUUUUAUUCUUUAGGGAGGGCUUAUAGAGUAGGUGGGUUACCAAAAAGGUUCUAAUGCAGACACAUUCUGUGGAACUGUUUGUUGUAUCAAAGAAUUAAUACAACCUUUUUCAUUUAUUUGAAUGGCCACCUGCUUGUUUUGUUGGCCAAGGGUUUACUUUAAAUGUUCAAGUAGUUUUUAUUUCAGAAAACAAGUUUUCAGGUGAUGGGCUUUUCGUUGGAAACCCCAUCCCCUUCACUGGAUGGAAUCUAGUUCAUUAGUUGCAUUGCUUAAUUUAGACUAAUAGGAAUUUAAUUAACGUGUUAGUUUUAUUUCAUUCAAUUAUGCAUUAUUCAAAUCAAUUUAGUCUGUUAACGACUAUUUUGUGUUGAAUUAAGUAUCAAGAUAUUUUUGUAUUGUAUGUUGUUUCUCAUAAUCAGCUCCAUGUAUUUAUUUUCCCCAUACAGUUUCUUUUAAGAUUUCAAUGAGAACAUGGUCAAAUUCAUUAAAUUUACCCUAAUGUUUUGAUUUUUAUUUAGGCACCAAAAAAAAAAUGCAACUGUCAUUUCCACUUCAUCAUACAAUAAUAAAAUUACAGUUUAGUUUCAUAAUCUGUUCAGAUUUUUUUUUUUUUCUUUUUUUAUGCUUUGUUGAAUGUGUUUUUGAUGAAAAAACAAUAUAUUCUGAAUUUUGUUUUGACACCCCCCCAUCCCACCCACUCCCCAUCACAGAGAAAUCAUCUGGCUUCUCUCUAAAGUUCCACUUUCUUGCAUUGUCAUGUUUUAGAAGGCAGGUUUCUUGCAUGUACCAGAACACUUAACUUAUAUAAAUAAUCUAGCUCAUUUAAAUACCUCUCUCUCUUUCUCUCUCUCUCUCUCUCUCUCUCUCUCUCCAUUUUUACCACAUGACAAGACUGCCUGUGAGACAAUAUUACCUCUCAAGACACGUGAGUUUACUUCCUGUCUUUUGAAUGAUGACAUUUCGUUUAAAACAAACACAUUACUAUAGACUGAUGACAUUCAAAUGUCUUGAUUGGUUUAUAUUUUUGCAGUUUCUGAGCAAAAUGAAUCGUGAGGUGUGUUCUUUUAAACACUUUGACUAGAAAAAAAAAAAAGGAUGGUUAAGCCAGCUAGGAUAUGUAUAUUAUUAUCAAUUACGACAAGUGAAAGUCUUCAUUACAUUUUGUAAUUCAUUCUACACUUACAUGAUAAACAUUUCAUCAAUAAAAUGGUAAUUGUCAAAACUUGAA